GACGAACCGUGCGAACGUUGUUCGGAAUCACUGGGCUUAAAGGGCGCGUAGGCGGGCAAUCAAGUCUGAGGUGAAAUCCUCCAGCUUAACUGGAGAAGUGCCCUGGAUACUGAUUGCCUCGAGGAUGGUAGGGGCAUCUGGAACUAGCGGUGGAGCGGUGAAAUGCGUUGAUAUCGCUAGGAACUCCGGUGGCGAAGGCGAGGUGCUGGACCAUUUCUGACGCUGAGGAGCGAAAGCGUGGGGAGCGAACAGG
rnacentral:rRNA from 1 species